CCUACGGGGGGCUGCAGUGGGGAAUAUUGGGCAAUGGGCGCAAGCCUGACCCAGCAACGCCGCGUGAAGGAAGAAGGCUUUCGGGUUGUAAACUUCUUUUAAGAGGGAAGAGCAGAAGACGGUACCUCUUGAAUAAGCCACGGCUAACUACGUGCCAGCAGCCGCGGUAAUACGUAGGUGGCAAGCGUUGUCCGGAUUUACUGGGUGUAAAGGUCGUGUAGCCGGGCUGACAAGUCAGAUGUGAAAUUCCGGGGCCCAACCCCGGACCUGCAUUUGAAACUGUUGGUCUUGAGUAUCGGAGAGGCAGGCGGAAUUCCAAGUGUAGCGGUGAAAUGCGUAGAUAGUAGGAGGAACACCAGUGGCGAAGGCGGCCGGCUGGACGACAACUGACGGUGAGGCGCGAAAGCGUGGGGAGCAAACAGGAUUAGAUACCCUAGUAGUC
rnacentral:rRNA from 1 species